rnacentral:rRNA from 1 species
CCUACGGGUGGCAGCAGUGGGGAAUAUUGCACAAUGGGGGAAACCCUGAUGCAGCGACGCCGCGUGAGUGAAGAAGUAUUUCGGUACGUAAAGCUCUAUCAGCAGGGAAGAAAAUGACGGUACCUGACUAAGAAGCCCCGGCUAACUACGUGCCAGCAGCCGCGGUAAUACGUAGGGGGCAAGCGUUAUCCGGAUUUACUGGGUGUAAAGGGAGCGUAGACGGCAGCGCAAGUCUGGAGUGAAAUCCCAUGGCUUAACCAUGGAACUGCUUUGGAAACUGUGCAGCUAGAGUGCAGGAGAGGUAAGCGGAAUUCCUAGGGUAGCGGUGAAAUGCGUAGAUAUUAGGAGGAAAACCAGGGGCGAAGGCGGCUUACUGGACUGUAACUGACGUUGAGGCUCGAAAGCGUGGGGAGCAAACAGGAUUAGAUACCCCUGUAGUC